GAGAGAACAAAGUCCAGUUAUCUAAUAAGUCAAAAACCAAGUAAAACUGUAAGUACAAAAUCAAGAAAUUAGCAUACAAUUCUGAUACAGUGCUAAAAUUGUUCAUAAAAACAAAAGAAAAUAUUUAGAAUUUAAAAUGAUUUAUUCUAAUGACAUUGAAGCCUUUUCUGUUGCCAUCCUACUUUAUUAAGACAAUAUGAAAUAGAUGAAAAUGGAGGACCAAAUAUUUUAGUUUCUAAUGGAAAUAAGUAAUAAAAUUCCCAACGAAAUGGUAACCUUCUGUUUUGCAUAACAUAAAACAGAUUAAACUCUGAAUUAGAAUACCUAAAAAUGCAGAAAG
rnacentral:misc_RNA from 1 species